rnacentral:rRNA from 1 species
GGAAAUUAGCGGCUGCUACUGCGCUUAACCUCACCCAUGAGAAUGACGGCAUAAGAUCGAACUAAACAAACUUUACUUUCAUUGCGCCUCUCUGGCUAAACAAGACGAGUGACUCGCACACAUGUUAGACUCCUAUUGACCCGUCCUGAAACACGGACCAAGGAGUCUAACAUGUGUGCGAGUCACUCGGUCUUGUUUAGGCCAGAGAGGCGCAAUGAAAGUAAAGUUUGUUAAGUUACGAUCCUUAUGCGGUCAUUCCUCGUGGGUGACGGUAAGGCGCAGUAACGGCCCGCUAAUUUCGCCUAUUGACGAUCUGGCGGAGUCGUAGCAUACACGUUGGUACCCGAAAGAUGGUGAACUAUGCCUGGGCAAGACGAAGCCAGAGGAAACUCUGGUGGAGGUCUGUAGCGAUUCUGACGUGCAAAUCGAUCGUCAGACCUGGGUAUAGGGGCGAAAGACUAAUCGAACCAUCUAGUAGCUGGUUCCCUCUGAAGUUUCCCUCAGGAUAGCAGACACGCGGUGAGAUUCAGUCUCAUCCGGUAAAGCUAAUGAUUAGAGGCAUUGGGGUCGAAACGACCUCAACCUAUUCUCAAACUUUAAAUGGGUGAGAAGUAUGACUUGUUUGAUUAAAGCCAUACUCUCGGAUGUAUGCGUGCCUAGUGGGCCAUUUUUGGUAAGCAGAACUGGCCGCUGUGG